rnacentral:misc_RNA from 1 species
GUGAAUCAUCGAAUUUUUGAACGCAAAUUGCACUCCCGGGUAUUCCGGGGAGUAUGCCUGUUUGAGGGUCGGUAGAAUAAAAAAUCGAUGCGUCGCUCUUUUUUUGAAGGGUGAUCGCGUCGGAAGUGAGCUGGCUUUCAAAGGUUAAUUCAUGUCAAAGAGGCUUGAAAUUCAGCCAUCGGGUACGAUGGAAGCGGAUUUAAGAUCAAGUUUGAUUGAGAACGCGCGAUUACUUUCCAUCUCAU